UGGCUCAGGAUGACGCUGGCGGCGUGCCUAAUACAUGCAAGUCGAACGAGAGUGCUUGCACUCGAGUGGCGAACGGGUGAGUAACACGUAGGUAACCUGCCUUACAGUUUGGGAUACCCGAGGGAAACCUUGGCUAAUACCGGAUAAUUCUUUUGGAGGCAUCUCCAGAAGCUAAAAGGGGCCUUUAAAGCCUCGCUGAAUGAUGGACCUGCUGCGCAUUAGCUAGUUGGUGAGAUAACAGCCCACCAAGGCGAGGAUGCGUAGCCGACCUAAGAGGGUGAACGGCCACACUGGAACUGAGACACGGUCCAGACUCCUACGGGAGGCAGCAGUAGGGAGUUUUCGGCAAUGGGGGAAACCCUGACCGAGCAACGCCGCGUGAAACGAUGAAGGUCUUCGGAUUGUAAAGUUCUGUUAUAAGGGAAGAAUGAUAGCUUGAGGAAAUGCUAGUUAUUUGACGGUACCUUAUUAGAAAGCCACGGCUAACUACGUGCCAGCCGCCGC
rnacentral:rRNA from 1 species